UACGUAGGGGGCAAGCGUUGUCCGGAAUUAUUGGGCGUAAAGCGCGCGCAGGCGGUGAUUUAAGUCUGAUGUGAAAUCCCACGGCUCAACCGUGGAGGGUCAUUGGAAACUGGGUCACUUGAGUGCAGGAGAGGGGAGCGGAAUUCCACGUGUAGCGGUGAAAUGCGUAGAGAUGUGGAGGAACACCAGUGGCGAAGGCGGCUCUCUGGCCUGUAACUGACGCUGAGGCGCGAAAGCGUGGGGAGCAAACAGG
rnacentral:rRNA from 1 species